rnacentral:rRNA from 1 species
GACGAACGCUGGCGGCGUGCUUUACACAUGCAAGUCGAACGGUGAAGGUGGAGCUUGCUCCGCCGGAUCAGUGGCGAACGGGUGAGUAACACGUGCGCAACCUGCCCCUAACUUUGGGAUAACUACUCGAAAGAGUAGCUAAUACCGGAUAUGAAGUCUGUAGGCAUCUAUGGAUUUGGAAAGUUUUUCGGUUAGUGAUGGGCCCGCGGCCUAUCAGCUUGGUGGUGAGGUAGUGGCUCACCAAGGCGACGACGGGUAGCCGGCCUGAGAGGGCGACCGGCCACACUGGGACUGAGACCCGGCCCAGACUCCUACGGGAGGCAGCAGUGGGGAAUAUUGCGCAAGGGGCGAAAGCCUGACGCAGCAACGCCGCGUGCGGGAUGAAGGCCUUCGGGUUGUAAACCGCUUUCAGCAGGGACGAAGCGAGAGUGACGGUACCUGCAGAAGAAGGACCGGCCAACUACGUGCCAGCCGCGGCCGUAA